CAUAUGAAGUAACACAAGAAGAAGGAAUUUGAAAAGAGUAACACAAGAAGAAGGAAGUUGAAAAGAGUAACACAAGAAAAAGGAAUUUGAAAAGAGUAACACAAAAAGAAGGAAUUUGAAAAGAGUUACACAAGAAGAAGGUAUUGAAAAGAGUUACACAGAAGAAGGUAUUGAAAAGAGUAACACAGAAGAAGGUAUUGAAAAGAGUAACACAGAAGAAGGUAUUGAAAAGAGUAACACAGAAGAAGGUAUUGAAAAGAGUAACACAGAAGAAGGUAUUGAAAAGAGUAACACAGAAGAAGGUAUUGAAAAGAGUAACACAGAAGAAGGUAUUGAAAAGAGUAACACAGAAGAAGGUAUUGAAAAGAGUAACACAGAAGAAGGUAUUGAAAAGAGUAACACAGAAGAAGGUAUUGAAAAGAGUUACACAGAAGAAGGUAUUGAAAAGAGUUACACAGAAGAAGGUAUUGAAAAGAGUUACACAGAAGAAGGAAUUUGAAGAGAAAUAACACAAGAAGAAGAAAUGUGAAGUAACACCAGAAGGAAAAUGCAGAGAAGUAACACUAGAAAAAUGAAAAUGGAAAUGAAAAGAAUCAUCCACCUUUCGGCCCAAACCAACAUCACAAAAUUAUGGGCGAGUCUCUUCUGGGAGGAAAGCGGCUCGUUCAGACCCAGGAACACCAGAAAGGAUGAUAGAAACAUCAAGAAAAGGAAAACAGAAAAGUCAUCCACCUUUCGGCCCCUGGGGCCGCAGGGUGGGUGACGGGUGAAUCUCCUCUGGGGAGAAGGAGGCUAACCCACACAGUCAAGAUAGAGGAUAGAGAAAGGAAAUUAAAUCAUCGAGAAAAGAAAAUGAAAUUACAAUAUCAAGAAAAUAACUAAAAAGUCAUCGAGCUUUCGGCCCCUGGGGCCGCAGGGCGGGUGACGGGUGAGUCUUCUGGGGAGGAGGAGGCUCAUCCACAGCCAGCAACACCAACAGAAAGAAAAGAAAAGAAAACAUCAAGAGAAAAGAAAAGGAAAAGAAAAGAAAAAAACAAA